rnacentral:rRNA from 1 species
UACGGAGGGUGCGAGCGUUAAUCGGAAUAACUGGGCGUAAAGGGCACGCAGGCGGGCUUUUAAGUGAGAUGUGAAAUCCCCGGGCUUAACCUGGGAAUGGCAUUUGAGACUGGGAGACUAGAGUACUUUAGGGAGGAGUGGAAUUCCACGUGUAGCGGUGAAAUGCGUAGAGAUGAGGAGGAAUACCGGUGGCGAAGGCGGCUCUUUGGGAAGGAACUGACGCUGAUGUGCGAAAGCGUGGGGAGCAAACAGG